CCGAGCUGCGCCGAAGAGACCAACACAGCUAAAUGCGGCCGACCAUCGCCGAGCUGAGCCGACAACAGCUGAAUUUAGCCGAACAGCUCAGAACAGCGUGAAGACUGAAAGUGUAAGAAGAUGUGGAGGAAAACAAAGAAUCCGACAGGAGCAUCGAACGCACAAGUGCACGAACUUCCCUUUUUGCUUGGAUUUACACUCAGACGUUGUAAGGAAUUUGGGAAUGAGAAAAGACAUUUCAGAAGAAGAAAAAGUUGUUGUUACAAUCCUGGCAAAACUUUUGUUCUAUCUAAUAAAAACAAAUUAGUUUAAAAAAAAAAAA